rnacentral:misc_RNA from 1 species
GGCCUGUGGUAGGCCAUUUUCAAAGACCUUUCUGUUCAUCUGCAUAAAACUUUCAUUCCAUUCCUCUUAUGUUCUAAUAAUAAUAAUCUUCUUCUAUAUUCUGUCUUCUAGGCUAUGACCAAUGGGAGAUUUGUGAGUGUGAGGCACAGAGCUGUAACCAACUCUUACAACUCUAGAAUGUCAAUGGCAUAUUUUGCUGCACCACCUCUCGACGCCGAGAUCGCUGCACUACCGCACAUGGUCUCUGCCGCGAGGCCUACCUUGUACAGGCCAUUCACUUGGGCUGACUACAAGAAAGCUGCUUAUUCUCUACGUCUUGGAGAUGCCCGUCUUGAUCUAUUCAGGAAACAAGGAGACGAGCUUGCUUAAUGGCUUGUGGGUAGUUUCGAGUCUUUGAGAAAUAUAAAAAUAUGGAGGGUUUUAUGUCUUUUUUGUAAUCCUCAAGGGGAAUUUUGGUUUAUAUUCCAUAAUUGCUGCUUAUAGAAGGAAAUCAAAGGGAUUGGAAUUCAAAUUGGACUUGAAUUGAUAUCGAUCAAAAUACAAUUAAUUAAAAGUAGAUUUAAAUCAAAACUGAUCAAAUUGAAAUCAGAGAGGAAC